GCCGUGAAGUUUCAGACCUAGCUCAGGCUAAGAAGCUAAGCUAACAUGCUCACAGUAUUAAGCUAACAACCCAGCUUCCGGUCACUGCUCCUCGUUCCCGGCGUUCUGAAGCAUUAAGAAAAAAAGAUGGCAACCUCCUCCACAACCUUGACUGUAUGGAUAAUCGGAGACAGCUAUGUCCG